rnacentral:SRP_RNA from 1 species
GCUGGCCUGUAGUUCCAGCUACCAAGGAGGCUGAGGCAGGAAGCUUGCUUGAACCCAUUUCUGGCUGUAGUUCACUGUGCCUAUCAGGUGUCUGUACUAAGUUUGGCAUCAACAUGGUGACCUCCCAGGACCUGGGGACCACCAGGUUGUCUAAGAAGGGGUGAAACAGCCUAGGUUGUAAAUGGAGCAGGUCAGAACUCUUGCACGGAUCAUUAGUGGGAUAGCCCUGUGAACAGACACUGCAUUCCCCUUUAGGCAACAUAAUGAAACCCUGUUUUA